GAAUGAGAGGGCCAUCUGGCCAGAGCAUCUGUUACUGAACUGGUUGCCAGGAUUGUUUCCACUGAUCUGACUGGCUAAGUGGGAGUCCCUUUCCUCCUUAUGUCAGUCCCUCCCAAAGCCUGUGGGUGGAAUGGCGUCUUCCUUUUCUUUGGUCAAGGGUAUCUGAGUCCUGACGCAUGCUUGCUGGAAACUGAAAGCCAGCUCCACAUCUUGUAAGUAUGGUGCAAAUCAAAUACAAUAAUAGACUUGACACUCUAAAGCUCUAU
rnacentral:snRNA from 1 species